rnacentral:misc_RNA from 1 species
AACGCAACUUGCAUCUCUCGUGAGAGGGGUAUGUCUGCCUGAGUGUUAGGAAGAUUAUUUGUUUCUGGUUAGAGACAGAGUUGAGGCAGCAUCGGGACGGGAUCUCGGUGAGCCUUUGAAUGGAGCCAGUCUAGUCAAGGUGGUGGGGCCUUGGAUAUGUGCUAGAGACGGCGAGGGUUCUAUCGACGAUAUUACCUCUUGUGUCUUGUCAUGUCCAACGGUCGUACAGCCACCUAUUUCACUUUGGCCUCAGGUCAGUCAAGUCUACCCGCUGAACUUAA